GCAAGUGAUCAUAUUUGGUAACUUCCACACACAUUAAAUAUGACAUUGCUCUCACCUCGCAGCCAAUCAGUGAAGGUCACUCUACAUUACAGCACACUGCAUCGUGGCAUUUGACCAAUCAGCAGAGGCCUGGAACAGAUCAAACUUUCUCUUUUCUCCAAACUUGGAAAAAGACGGACUUCUGGCUCGGUCCUCUUCUAUAUUUACGGUCAAAACGUCAAAACUAACUAUGGAAAGCGUUGCGGCUGCCAACUUUUCGCUCUGGAUGAGUCCCACGCCGAGCUCGUGGAUGAACGCUGGUUUCGAGGAGGCAGCUGGUAGAGCCUGGAGCGCAUGAGAGUCUGUACCUGCCAUCUGCCAGACCGCUGGGUAAUGGAUGAAACCUGGAUGUUUUCUGACGGAGCUGGUGCGAGCCGAGGACGACCUCCACCCGACCAGAGUGCAGACGGACCGGUCGCCUCUUGGCUUCGCUUCGUUCUCUGAUCUGCAGGACGAGCUCUGUGGAUCGUCUGCUGCAGAAAUAGGCCCAGUGUUACUUACCGUCUGAUGAUUGGAACGGCGGUGUAAUGUGUGAAAUGUCUUAUUGUAGAAGCUCAUCUUUCUGCCUCCCUACAGUACUCAGGGGAAGACUGUAAUCUGCAGGUAAAAAUAGUUCCCAGCAUUUUUAAACAGCUUCCACAGCAAACUGCAAGUAGAACAACGUCAAAACAACAUUUUCUGAGGGUUUUAGAUUGAAUUGGAUGGAGAUUUUAGCGUCUCUCUGAGAACAAUACCAACGUGUCUGCAGUUUAACCCUCUGGCUUGAGCGCAUUAUGCUGGGGAAAGAAAAAAUAGAGGCCCUUUUUAAUCUGCAGAUCACCCAAGGAGGCUCUCAUCCACCUGGGACCCCUCCCUGGAGGUGUGCUGUUCCACUGCUGAUUGCCUCGCUGUAUUUUAGCAGCAAUGCACCAUUCAAGUCUGCAGGCAACUUGACAAAUGAGCAGGGAUCUGAGCAGAGGGGAUGCUCGUACUGCACCACACAGCCUGUCCCAUCCACAUCCCCCCUGUCCUGCAGUGGUUCACCUCCUAACUGACGCCCUUCCUGCACUGAAACCAGCAGGAGCUCCACUCAAAGUCACACGAGCAGAGCACACGCCAAGUACACGCCUGCUGACUCAUGUGCAGGAGAGCGAGCUUGUGUAUUAAUACCAUUGCGUAUGUAGAGAAAAAGUUGUAGAUUUCAGCCCUGUAGCACAAGUUAUCAUGUUAUGUACAGCGGCGAAAAACUAAUGGACAUUAUUUGGAUAAUCAGUUAAUCACUGAAGUCACUUUUGAUGCAAAAUAAGGAGACAUUUGCUUGUUUUUGCCUCUGAAAUGUGAGAAUUUUUAUUCUUAAAGCCUGAUGACUUAAAUGUCUUGGGCCCUUUAUUAUGACAAAACAAGAAAUUUGACUUAGUUGGGAUUUUUCAUGAUUUUUUUGCAAUUUAAAAACAAAAUAAUUCAUCGAUUACCUUAGAGGAUAAUAGGAGGAUAAUCUGUAUACUGGAAGUCUCUCCAAAAAAAGAGAUGAUCAUGGUUGAAAUUUUCAAAGAAGCUGUGAUGGUGUAAAAUGUUUUCUUAGCGGGCCUCUUGAACGCCGUUCUAACUAACGAGAGGUCAGCACUCCCAGACUCAAUGAUUUUCCAAUCCUCCCUGUCAGUGCACGCUACUCUAAUAACUUGUAAAGGUUUUUUUUUUAUUAUUUUUUAUUGCUGUGUAAGGAUUUGUGUAGCACAAAGCUGCACUGUGCAGCUCUUAUAUUGCAAGCUAUUCCCCUGAAACACGAGAUGCCUUCUCACCUACAGCACGGAUCUAUUUGAGUGCUCAACCUCCAGUCCAGUCAGAGAGGUGUAGGACGACUCUGACGAGGCAUCGGAGGGGAUUUAUGCAGCUGCAGGUCUCUGCUCGUCUCGGCGCAGCGUUUGUGAGUCGCCUUGGAACAUGAAGUACCUGAAACUAGUUCACCAGCAUCAUCAGUAUGUCGUCUGCAGCUGCAUCCGCCACUUGAGGACGGCAUCCACCCACUGGUCCUCCUCAGAAACUGCAUGUCGGAGCGAGAUGAGGAGCAGAGUGUCUGACGCAGCAUGCAAUCAUUCACCUUGACUGCGUGCGUUGCUCAGACUUGCCUUGCUGCAGCUGUCCACACAUCCUCCUCCUCCCCCCACCACCACCACCCUCCACCCCGUAUAGAGGCAGUGCACUCUGCCAGCCAUGGAGUGGGACGUACUAUCGAUCCUGCUGAAAUGAUGGUUUCUAAAAGGGAGGCAGUAAGCAUGUCUGCGCGCCCCUCCUCCACCGUGGAGGGGCCCUGAGAUAUCACCAAGCUCAGCACAUUGCACCAUCACCGCAUGGGAAAAUGGGAUUUUCACCGGGAGACGAGCUGAGGGGAAGGUAAUUCAAGUCGCCGAGCUAUGUUCCUCCACCGAGGAUGUAAAAUGAGCCACAUUACCAUCAGACACUUCGCACAGUGGACAAAUAAGGUCAUUUUAAAAAGUGAUAUUAAUUCCAGCCCUUGUCACAGAGAAAUCAGAUUCCCAAAGUGAAAAUAUGCACAAUCAAGUGAGGUUCAUUCAGCUCUCAGGCACUCAUUCAUGCACUUCAGCUGGAUGACAGCGCUUGUAUUUUGAGAUUCUUCAAAGAAUUAACCCUCAUGUCCCGCAGGUCAAAAUUGACCUGUUUUAAAGUUUGAAAAUGUAGGGAAAAAAAGAUUUUCACAGUGAAACUUCUGAUGUCCACAUUUUCAACAUUUUUGGGAAAUCCUUAAACAUUUUUUCAGUGGAAAAAAAAUAUUUCUGAAG
ensembl:lncRNA